GAAUGGACGCCAAGGACUCGGAACAUACAAACGAGUCAAAUGGAACAUUCAUUAACUCGGUCGGCUUCAAGCCCAAUUUUCAGAACCCAAUCGAUGGUACAAAAUCAACUAGAAUACAAAUCGAACAAGACUAUAUGAAACAUGCCAUUGGAUUAACAUUUCACUUCUGCAAUUCAACUAUUUAAAACCCAAAUCGACUAGCUGAGCAUUUUGAAUUUCAAAUACCAAUUCUAACUUAAAACAUGUUUAUAUGACAACCAAAAGCAAAUCAGUGUAUGCCUUUAUCUAGACCAUUUCCUUUUCUCUUCACAUGAUUUUUAUACAAACUAAUAUUCAAGAGACAUUCAACUACCCAUUUGCAUAAACAUUGCAUUAUUCAGAUGCAACAAAUAUGUUAUAACAGUUUAAGGGACCAUUUGACACGACCUACUACUGAUUCGACUACACAACAUAGUCAUCAAAGUUUCCUUAAUCGUUCAAAAUCAGAUUCAAAGAUAAGGUUCAAUGGUUAAAUCUAUAUCUAUCCAUACCAUCCUUGACAAAUCAUUGAAUCCCAUAUUAAAUACAGACUAAGCUACCGCUCUUUGAGGGAGUACUGUCAGCAAAUAAACAAAUGAUAUGCAUCAAAAUUUUAGGGAGAAAAAAAAAGAAAUAAUACUAAACUAUGAACAAAUAACUUAUUGCUACACUUCAAACUUCUAUUUUCCCUUUCAUUCUUCAAACUCGAGCAUCACAUUCAAUAAGAUUCAAGAAUAUGUACCUGGGAAUAAAAGAGAAAUAAAAUUGAAGAAUUAGCAUAACAGCAGCAAAAACCAACACAGAACCAACAAUGAAACAAUGCUAAGACUAGUAAAUCAAGUUUCAAAUUCUUGAACCCAUUCCAGCAUUCAAAAACCCCAAAUGUACUAUUUCUACCAAGCUUCUGAAUUCAGACUUAUCCCAUGAAUUUAAAACUCAAUAUCAAACAAAAAUUCUAGCAAUCUUUAGUACUUUUCUUGAAAGAAGGUAGCUGAGUCAUUUUUAAGUUUUUCAGGAUUUUUGUCUCUGAAAUUCCGACUUGUGAGUGAAGAAACUAUGCCUUAAUAGGCAAGCAUUAGGGUAGCAAAAAAUGAUUCUAUUUUUGCCGUUAAAUGCUUUUGAAACUUUUAUUUUUGUACAGGAAGUAUUUUGAUCAGAGGACGCUCAUCCCAAGCAGGGGCUUCGGGCGGAAGGAAUGAAUCAAGUAAGGUGCGAAUGAAUACUGUUUCCGUGAUAUAUUUCUCCCUGAAAUAGCUCCGCUACUGUUGUUUAAUCCCUAAGUUCAAAUUCAGCUGUUCAAAACAACCCCAGACAUACCUUCUAGGAAGUUUCUCCAUGCAGUUAUUAAAGAUUCCCCAACCUAAAAUCCCUAAACUACCCCUUAAACCCCAUGUUUUUAUCAUCAAACCAACCCGGGUCAAAGUAACCCAAGGAAGACCAGACACGGUCCUUAAAAAAAAAUUGGAUUAAUCCCUUUCUUUUGGCUUUCAAACCAAGUCUGGGAUUCAAAAUCCAAAAUCAAACAAAUUUGACAGAAUUUAGCACAAACCUUCAAUUAAAAAAAACGAACAAAAGCUAAAUGAGGUCUCUUUUGAGAAAAAGUCAUUAAACUAAUUAACGAACCAACAAUCGAUUAAUUAGUCCAUCAUGCCCUAAAAAUUAUCCUAAUUACUCUAAACCAGAAAUGGAAAAAUAAAUAAUAUAAAAAAAUCAGUAGAUGAAUGAAGAAUGGGAAGAGAUAUACCGAUGGAAACGAACACUUCAACAGGUUAGAAAAGGGGAGUAAUGGAUCCACUUGAGACUCCACUGAGAACCAAACUCGGCCAAAUGGCGGGGAUUGUCACAUGAAUGUUAACCGAAUUUUCAUCCACGGUCAACGAUUCAUGCUGCAAUUCUCACCAUGCGCCAAAACGGAAAUAAAGCAAAAGCUUGAAGAAAUUGGAGCAUUCAAAGUGAUUUUCCCGAAAUUUGACUAAAUCCAUGAGACAAGGUGUUCGUGACAUUAAACAUAGUUAUCUUGUCGAAGAAAUUGGGGAAUUCACGGGGCUUUGCUAUGGAUUGAGGGUUUAAUCCGAAAAUUUGCGCAAAAAGAGGAAAGUUUGAAUUUUUAUUUUUUGGAUCUAUAAUUUGGAAAGAUUGAGAGGUCUCUUGAGGAAAUCAAUGGCAGGACAUGAAUGAGGGGACGAUGAGGAUUGGCUGGUUAAAAUUUAGAGGGAUUUGGAGGUGCUCCGCCGCCGUGAGGCAUUUUCGGGCGGCGGAGCUACGGUGGAGGCGUGCGACGAUUGGAGAGAAAAAAAGAGAAUUUGGUUUUUACCUUAAUGAGGCUAAACUGAUUAAUUAAGACAAAGGGGUGUUUGGUCAUGUAAA
rnacentral:lncRNA from 1 species